UACAGGGGGUGCAAACGUUGCUCGGAAUCAUUGGGCGUAAAGCGCACGUAGGCGGUUCGUUAUGUCGGAUGUGAAAGCCCUUGGCUUAACCGAGGAAGUGCAUCCGAAACUGGCGAGCUAGAGUACGAAAGAGGAUCGCGGAAUUCCCGGUGUAGAGGUGAAAUUCGUAGAUAUCGGGAGGAAGACCGGUGGCGAAGGCGGAUCUCUGGACGGCCCCUGACGCUGAGGCGCGAAGGCUAGGGGAGCAAACGGG
rnacentral:rRNA from 1 species